GCAAGUCGAACGGCAGCACGGGUGCUUGCACCUGGUGGCGAGUGGCGAACGGGUGAGUAAUACAUCGGAACAUGUCCUGUAGUGGGGGAUAGCCCGGCGAAAGCCGGAUUAAUACCGCAUACGAUCUACGGAUGAAAGCGGGGGACCUUCGGGCCUCGCGCUAUAGGGUUGGCCGAUGGCUGAUUAGCUAGUUGGUGGGGUAAAGGCCUACCAAGGCGACGAUCAGUAGCUGGUCUGAGAGGACGACCAGCCACACUGGGACUGAGACACGGCCCAGACUCCUACGGGAGGCAGCAGUGGGGAAUUCUGGACAAUGGGCGAAAGCCUGAUCCAGCAAUGCCGCGUGUGUGAAGAAGGCCUUCGGGUUGUAAAGCACUUUUGUCCGGAAAGAAAUCCUUGGUUCUAAUAUAGCCGGGGGAUGACGGUACCGGAAGAAUAAGCACCGGCUAACUACGUGCCAGCAGCCGCGGUAAUACGUAGGGUGCGAGCGUUAAUCGGAAUUACUGGGCGUAAAGCGUGCGCAGGCGGUUUGCUAAGACCGAUGUGAAAUCCCCGGGCUCAACCUGGGAACUGCAUUGGUGACUGGCAGGCUAGAGUAUGGCAGAGGGGGGUAGAAUUCCACGUGUAGCAGUGAAAUGCGUAGA
rnacentral:rRNA from 1 species